rnacentral:rRNA from 1 species
GCCUAAUACAUGCAAGUCGAACGCUUCUUUUUCCACCGGAGCUUGCUCCACCGGAAAAAGAGGAGUGGCGAACGGGUGAGUAACACGUGGGUAACCUGCCCAUCAGAAGGGGAUAACACUUGGAAACAGGUGCUAAUACCGUAUAACAAUCAAAACCGCAUGGUUUUGAUUUGAAAGGCGCUUUCGGGUGUCGCUGAUGGAUGGACCCGCGGUGCAUUAGCUAGUUGGUGAGGUAACGGCUCACCAAGGCCACGAUGCAUAGCCGACCUGAGAGGGUGAUCGGCCACAUUGGGACUGAGACACGGCCCAAACUCCUACGGGAGGCAGCAGUAGGGAAUCUUCGGCAAUGGACGAAAGUCUGACCGAGCAACGCCGCGUGAGUGAAGAAGGUUUUCGGAUCGUAAAACUCUGUUGUUAGAGAAGAACAAGGAUGAGAGUAACUGUUCAUCCCUUGACGGUAUCUAACCAGAAAGCCACGGCUAACUACGUGCCAGCAGCCGCGGUAAUACGUAGGUGGCAAGCGUUGUCCGGAUUUAUUGGGCGUAAAGCGAGCGCAGGCGGUUUCUUAAGUCUGAUGUGAAAGCCCCCGGCUCAACCGGGGAGGGUCAUUGGAAACUGGGAGACUUGAGUGCAGAAGAGGAGAGUGGAAUUCCAUGUGUAGCGGUGAAAUGCGUAGAUAUAUGGAGGAACACCAGUGGCGAAGGCGGCUCUC